AAAUCAUCGACUACAUAAUUAUUCAUUAUCUUUACAAUUAACCAUCUAAAGCUACCACAGUUUUUCAAUCAAAGUAUAUAUCUACAUAUAUAGAGAUAGUACACUUCAUAAUUUCGUCCCUUGUCUUCCGUAAACGUAGCACGAAAAUUUGAUACCCAAUAUUGUAAGGCAGGUCGUAGAAGCAGUCUUCCUGCACAUAUUUAAAUAUAAUAGCAAAGUCAGUAAAAUAAUAGCAAAGUCAAAACAACGUGCUAAAUUUACCCAAACUGCAUUAUUCAAUUACUUAUUUCAAAUGGAAGAUGAAAAUCAACCUAUUUUUAUCACUAAAAGAAAAUAUAUAUAUACAAAGCAUAAAACGAAGGUCAUCAUUAGAGCAUAUUUUCUACUACCAUUAUCCACAAUAAGAAAUGCAAGCUUUUGGGCAAGUAAAAACAACAUAUAGAGAUCUUUAAAGAAAUUUUAUAAGCACAACCCUUUUGUUUGAAAUCAAAUCUUUUGAGGACAUCCAUAAUUCUUCCUAUAUAAAUAUUUUCUAGGCCAUCCCUAUUGCAAUUAAGACUAUAGUACAAAAGGCAGUGUGUGAACAUACUAAAUUCAGCAGGGUAUAAAUAGAAGUUGUGAUUUUUUUUUAGUUAGACUUCAGAUUAAUGCUCCUUUAUGAAGUUUAGAAGAUGAAGAAAAACAUCAUCAUCACACGAGCAUCUGAAACUUUCCUACUACCUUUACGUAAGUAAUACCAUAUGGUAAUGUUGGGAGUAAGAACCAUCAAUAGACCACACCUUGAAUACCCCUAAUUUUCCAUCUUUACUUCGAGUACCCUUUGGAAAGAAAAAAACAGAUCCUCCCUUCUUCACAAGAUCCAUGCAUCGUUUGAGAGUUUGCUACAUUCAUAAAGACAAAAAAUAAAACCUGUAUAGUUCAAGAAAAGAAAAAUAGUUUACUAGAACAAGUACUAUAAUAUAAAUUUCCCAAAUGGAAAUCCAACCUAAACAAACUGAUUAAUUUUUUGCAUCAAAGGUGAAAUAAUAUUUUCAAGGGAAGGAAUCAAGUUACCAAUUGGCAUCUGAUGUCCAUGCGCUUCAAAGGAAUAACACCCAUUAAAAACACGACCCAUCCAACAACAGGAAAGAAAAAAAUUGAUGUCUUGCUGAUGAACUUGAAGCUACUACCCAGAGUGAGAAGAACAUGUGUCUAAAAAGCUCUGGUGGUUGGACACAUAUAUAACAGGAGUAUCAUGUGAAGGCAAAUUCUCUACUCCCACCACUUCAACAUUAAAAAAUGGAGUAACAGUAAAAAGAGCCCAAAUUUUGGCGAUAAGCUAAUGGGCUUUUCUACGGUACCACAAAAUUCAACUAAAGAAAAAAAAUUCACAAGCAUGGUCGAGUGCGAGGAACCCAUUACCAACCCCAGAAAACCAGCAAUCACAACCGUUUAUUGGAAUAUUUUAAGACAAGAAUCAAGAUCCCAAUACGCCCUUAAGUGUAAAAUAAUCAAUUUGGAUAAAACAGUGAACACAGCUUCAAGGUUCAAAAACUACUAUAUAAUGUAAUGUACCUCGAUUUCCUCAGAGAGCAAACAGCAUCAUCCAACGAUAUCACUAGUAAUGGUAUGAGCCUCAAGAUUUGUGGGUUUUCUUUUUGACAGUCAACGCACGAGCGACAAACACUAGCGGCGCAGCGGAGCACGAGAAACAUAGACAACCUUAGUUAUCUGCAAAUCACAGAAGGGAAGCAAGUAUUACCGCUUUGCAGCCAAUUACUAUCUUAGUCUUAAUCAAUUUGCACAGAAGAAAAACAAAGAGUGAACAAACCCACCACAGUAUGGUACUUAGUUUCUUUGAACAAUAACACUUUGUAGUAGAUGUUGACAAUGGGAAUUCAUUUAAACAUUUGAUAUAUACAUACGUAUCAGUCCACACAUAUCAGUAUUGUCAGUGGCUAUACUUAAUGGUCUAACUGCUAUGAAUCAUAUGACUUAUACAAUGUUAUAUAUUUAUAUGUAUUAAAUGAUAACUUUGUACGUAUUUAAUUUAUUAUUUUACUUUAUUCUUUUUUUUAAUAUUAUUUUCCUAUUUUCAAGGAAUAUAUAGCUUUUUGUUAAGUAUCGGCCGAUGCCAACACCCCCAUCAAGACUCGACUGUCUAAUACAUCUUUCGAUACUACAACUUUAGACCCUGCUCUAACCUAAAUCCCUAGUCAGAAGGUUAACAACAAAUGUAAACAUAAAGAUGGGCAUUGGGUCCCCUCGGCGGAAACCCCUAGAAGCCUUAACCCUCCAAAUUGUAGAGAAAUAAAAAGAGGAAAGAUUACCCCAAGUCCAAGCCCUCGAUAUAUCUUCAUAACCUUUCCUCUCCAUGACCUUAUCAAAAAGCCUCAUUUGACCCUAUCAAACGCCUUGCUAAAAUCCAAUUGAAGAACUUAUCCCUGACAACUCCUACUCACAUCUUUGACGCCUCGUGAGAAGCUGCAAGAUUUUAUAAAUCUGAACUGCAAUACCUAUAACUAUAACCUAGAUAGACACAAAAACCACUACAUUGGUCUCCAGAAAGGCACAAUCUAAGUACCUGAUAAUCAAGAAAGAAAAUGCCAACACCUUUGAACUAAAAAGUUUCUUAAGUUGAUACCUAUAUAACAAUUUACAUCGCAUAUACCUCAAAGUGGUAACUACUGUUGUCUUUUUGGACUAGGUGCGAUAGCAAGGAGAAUCUUCUUCCUUGGUCCCUACAAAUAGAGAAGUCUUCAAAAGAAUACAAGCUAUUAUAGAAAUUUUAACGACACAAAACCAUACACAAUUAACAACAUAAAAUUAGAAGCAGGUGAGUCUAAAAAUAGUAGAAAUUAUUAAGGAAAAUAGAAAACUAGGGCAUAAUUAGUACAUUUUCAACAAAUUUGACUACAAAGUAAGAGAAUGGGAUCUUCCUAUAAUAAGCAAACAAGAGGAAAAGAAAAGAGAAGAAAUUAGGGUUCCAAAUUGUUAAAAUAAGAGAAAUUAACUGAAAGUUUCAAUUUGUGAGAAAUAGAGCUAAGUUUUCUAUAACAAGCUAUUACAUAAAUUUACGGUAUAACAUACUAGCGGCAAUUUGAGAGCAGAGAGUUUCAAUUCGAGGAAAACUACAAUGUAAGAUAAGAGAGCUUCAAUUUCGAGACUAGUGGCAAGGUAGCGACCACAGCAAGGUAGCGACCACAGCAAGGUAGCGACGGCGGCGACAAGGCAGGGAGACAAGGCGCCAAAAAGAUAUAGAUCUAAAAGGCUCCUUGGAUAAGGCGGAUGCCGAGUCACUGUUUGGGAUUUGGGGUUUUGUGUGAGGCUAGAGACAGGGUGAGAGAUAAAGACUGAUUUGGGUAAUUGGUAAUUGUUGUCAAGGAGUCAUGUAGCGUUACA
rnacentral:lncRNA from 1 species